UCCGAGUUGUCCCCGGCAGUCUCUUUAGAGUCCCCACCAUUACGUGCUGGCAACUAAAGACAGGGGUUGCGCUCGUUGCGGCACUUAAGCCAACACCUCACGGCACGAGCUGACGACAGCCAUGCACCACCUGUGCACUGGUCCCGAAGGAGGGCCGUAUUUCUACGGCUUUCCGUACAUGUUAAGCCCAGGUAAGGUUCUUCGCGUUGCAUCGAAUUAAACCACAUGCUCCGCUGCUUGUGCGGACCCCCGUCAAUUCCUUUGAGUUUUAGCCUUGCGGCCGUACUCCCCAGGCGGGGCACUUAAUGCGUUAGCGCCGGCACGGGAGGAGUCGACACCUCCCACACCUAGUGCCCAUCGUUUACGGCGUGGACUAC
rnacentral:misc_RNA from 1 species